rnacentral:rRNA from 1 species
UACGAAGGGUGCGAGCGUUGUUCGGAAUUAUUGGGCGUAAAGGGUUCGUAGGCGGGAAGAUAAGUUGAAUGUGAAAUCCCUGGGCUUAACCCAGGACGUGCAUUCAAAACUGUUUUUCUUGAGUAUUGGAGAGGAUGGUGGAAUUGCUGGUGUAGGGGUUACAUCCGUAGAGAUCAGCAGGAACGCCGGAGGCGAAAGCGACCGUCUAGCCAAAUACUGACGCUGAGGAACGAUAGCGUGGGUAGCAAACAGG